GACGUAGGAUGCAAGCGUUGUCCGGAUUUAUUGGGCGUAAAGAGUUCGUAGGUGGUUCGUUAAGUCUGAUGUUAAAGACCGGGGCUCAACCCUGGAAGUGCAUUGGAUACUGGCGGACUUGAGUGUGGUAGAGGCAAUCGGAAUUCCAGGUGUAGCGGUGAAAUGCGUAGAUAUCUGGAAGAACACCGGUGGCGCAAGCGGAUUGCUGGGCCAUAACUGACACUGAGGAACGAAAGCUAGGGGAGCGAAUGGG
rnacentral:rRNA from 1 species